AAGAAAAAAAAUCAGAAACCAUUUUCUCUCUCUCCUCAAACAAAGUUCAUGCACCAUUUUCUCACUCCUAAAAUCUCCAUCUUUCUCUCCUAAUUUUGCCCAAAUUCUGCCCAGUUUUCUUCCGUUUUUCUCAUUGCCUCACCGGAAUCGACAAAUCUUCAUAUUGAUUCAAAUAAAAACAGUAACAUUCGACGAUCAAAAAACUCCAAACAAAUUCGUGAAGUAAAACCCUAGAUAUCUGAAUUUUCAAUUUCCAAAUGGGCCGAAGUGACGAAUUGAAGUUGCGAAAUCUACAGAAAUAACUUACAAACAAAGGAGAUUUUCAUUUUCGAAUGGACCGAGGCAGAAGUAGCAAAAUCUCUCAAAGUAACUUAUCACGAAGAGGUACCCAGCUUGCUUAUACAAUAAUUUUUGGCUCUUAUGCUUCAUUUCUCUUCAUUAGAACAGGUAAGAAAGGUAGUUCUCUCUAGCUCUUCUAUACUCAUCUGAUGCUACUUUCUCCCUUGAAGCUAGCCCCUGAUCACCAGGAGUAGAAUGAAGAAGAUUCUGCACUUCAAGCAAGGCUUUGUGUCUUUUGAUCUGUUCAGCUUCAACAUUGUUGUAACCCUCUUGAUUCAAAACUUUUAGGUCCAUUUUUAUCCACUUCAGUUUCUGCAUCACCCUAUACAUGGGACACCCAUACACAUACUUUUUCCAGUUCUCCUCAACAAUGGUGUUGAACCUAGGGGAAGUGGUCCACAUAUUGAAAAAACGAAAGGGUCUUUUUUGAGGUGCUCUUUGAUAGCAAUUGAGAAGCAUGGGACUAUGAUCAUAAUGACCUUCUGGCAUGAAGUUUGCCUCAGCAGUAUCAAACAAAUCAUUCCACUCUGAGUUAGCCAACACCCUAUCAAUCCUAGAGAAAGCUCUAUCCUCUCCAUCUUGCUUGUUGUUCCAAGUAUAGAGUCUCCCUACUGUUUUUACUUCAGUUAGCUUACAAUGGAGCAUACAGUUCCUCAUUGGCUGCACUUCAGAAAGUCUAACUAUGGAUCCUAUCCUAUCAUCUAGAUCCAUCAUGGAGUUGAAAUCCCCCAUCACUAUCCAAGCAUCAGAACAUGAGUCUGCAAUUAUUUUAAGGGAAUGCCACAAAGGCUCCCUGGUGGCCCUCUCAUGGAGACCAUACACAAAAGUGCACCAAAAUCCAACAUCAGCUCCUCUAGGAGUGACAUAACAAUGCAUAAACUGAGUGUCAAUGAGUUUUAUAUCCACAGUGAAAGAAUCAGGGUCCCAAGCAAUAACUAUUCUACCAUUUUUAUGGCAACAAAGAUUAGUAGAAAAACACCAAUUGGGGCAAACAUUCAAGUACAAAUCCCCCAUUCUAGGGGCUUUCACCCUAGUUUCAAGAAGGCUGAAAAGUUUGACAUUAUGAGAGGCAAUAAACCUUCUCACUUCAUUUUGCUUAUCCUUCCUAUUCAGCCCUCUAACAUUCCAACACAGAAUGCUAUCCAUUGGGAGAAGGGGAUGUCACCCCCUGACCCAAUGGACUCUCCAUAUCAUCUUCUACCCUAAUAUCAUCAUCAUCAUCUAAAGCCAAGAAAGAGUUACCAGUUUGGAUUGGUUUCAGUUGACUGCUUCUGUGUUUAUUAAAUCUUGUGGCAAGAACAAACCCAUCAGCAUCUGGUUCCUGCAUCUUUGGUUGGACCACUGUAACUGUGUUGGUGGGUUGUACCCUUUUAGGUGCCCAUAUCUUCUUCCAUUUGUUGACCCUCUUAUGGCACUUCUCCAUGGUGUGCCCCAUUCCCUUACAGAUUGAGCAAGAAAUAGGCAGCCAGUCAUACUCCACUCUUUGAUCAAUGAUCACACCCUUCUCAUCCAGAAACUGUAUCAGUUCAGGAAACUCCUGAUCAAUCCUAACCUCCACCAGAACUUUUGCAAACAACAGUUUAUCCCUGUGUUGUGUGGCUUGAUCCACUUUGAUCACUGUGCCCACUAACCCUGUAAUCUUCUUCAAACUCUUUUCCCCCAGUAUUUAACCUCUAACCCAUGUAAUUUGAUCCAUAUUGGGACCAACUUCACAGGAUCUUUGGUGAAAUUGGAAUCAGCUGUCCAUGGCUUAACUAUGACUGGUUUUGAAUCAAAGAACUGAGCAGGUCCACUCAGAACUUUGUGGCAAUUUUCCAUAGUGGUAAACCGAAUCAGGAAUACCCCCUUCCCCACCAAUGAGACUUUAUCAAUCCCAAAUUUCCCCCAAACUCGAUUCACAAAUCCUGCCAUCACAUUUUGGGGUGGGUUUGCCCCUAAAAUGUAGCAAAUGAUCGAGGAUUGCCAAAACGCAAUCUCAUCCUCAAUAUCCUCCUCUUCAAUCUGAAUCAUCAUUGUUUUAAUCGGACUUACCGCAUUGUUAAUCGGAACUUCAUCUGCAACUAAUUGAUCAUCAGUUACUCUGUUUUCCGAGUUUCCUAACUCUCGCCCUGAUUGAAAAUGCGUAGACAGCGUCUUACCCGCACUUAAACCAUUGAUCCAAGCAUUAAACUCCGUUCGAACCUGAGAUUGUCUCUGCAAAUCCUUCAGUGCAGUUGAAGGGGAGAGAAUUUGUUCCGCCAAGAGGGUUUCAAUGUCUGGGUUUGUUUUCGGGCUUUCAGAAAUCUCAUCAACGUCCUCCAAUGGAGAACUAGGUUGUUGUGCUCGUGUUACUGGUUUCGUCACUAUCACAUUAUCCUUCUGCUUCGCGCCAUUGCUGGAUUUGCUUGCUUGUUUGCGAGGUCUUCCCAUGGUGUCGAAGAGGUCGCCUCUUCGAAACCUCCCAAACGCAGGCUUUUUUUAACGAUAAUUGUUUUGCUGUCCUAGGGUGUGCUUUAUAUAUCCACAACUAUAGUAUUAAUCUACGCACAAUGUUGGGCAAGCUUUUUGAGAUAAUGUUGGCCUGUAUACGAACCAACCUUUGGAUCAACCUCGGUUUCAAAUUUUUUAAAUUAUGUUCUAUUAUCAGUAUGAUCUGAUUAUGAAGUUUCCUGUGGACAUUCGUAAUUAACUUGUAGUAAUUAUUUUUUGGAGAAUUUCUGUAAUUGAAUUGAAAUUAAUUUCUUGUAAUUUGUAUGUUCUAAAUAUAUAACUUGAUGUUCUAAAUUAUAUAACAUGGUGUUCUAAUUUAAUUUAAUUAGUUUUAAACAAAAUUAUUAGCCUUAAGAUUCUAUUUUAAUUUAAAAUAUGCUGCUGUCAACAUCAAUAUAACUUAUAAGUGUUAGCCAGCCUAGGUUGCUUAAAAAUCUUGGCAAGGUUACAUCUUAAAAUUUGUUUAUUGCUGAGCUCUUUUGUUGUUUGGAUUUGGAGCCUUGGAGGGAUUCAAAGAAAUUUAUUCGAAGGUCUUGAGAGUUGAGGUUUGUUGGAAGGUGAGAGUGAAGAAGCAAUGUCUUCUUGGGUUGGAUUCAAUUAUAAUUUUCACCACAAAGUGUUAUAUAUGGCUCUUGGGUUUGAGUGGAUACUCUUAUUGUUUCUUAUACCUUCCUGAUAAAUAACAUUAUGUUUUCUUUGGCUUGAUCCUUGUGGGUUCUUAAUUUAAAAUGUAAAUUAGUUCUUUGGUUUGAUUUACACAUGGUGAAACAAGUUGCAGCUAAACAAAAUAAUUGCUUUCCUCGUGCUUCUUCACUGCUUGACAUACCCAUAUGAGAUGGUGUUUUACUUGCUUCUUUCAUUGUCUUUUAAUUUUCAGAUAAUGCAACAUAUGUGCAGCAAUGUUCAUAGUAUUCUGAAAGCCUAAAACUUCAUCAUUUAACUAGAAAAAAUUCUCUGUUUUUUAUUCUGUUGAUCUCAGAAAUUUGCUGGUUAUGUAUGUAUUGGUGUUUUAAUAUUUUGUUAUCUAUGUUCAAGUGCUCAGCUAAUUGUUGGGACUAGUCUCAUGACCUGAAUGUACUUGCAAUUCACUAGAGUGUGCCUUUUUUUUUGCUUUGCAUUAUUCUGAAUUUGAGACGGCACCUAUAGCUAUGAAAAGAAAUCAUGGACUGUGUCAGAAUUCUCCUUCUAGGAUGAAUUCAGUUUGAGAGAAAAGAUUGAGUGAGAGAGAAACUAAAGAAUAGAGUUGUAUUAUUGAUUGAUCAACUGAAAUACAAUGAACAUGGUGCAUAUAUAUACAGCUUGGGCUAACACAUUCAGUGAUGUGUUUAAGCCAAUCACAAUGCUUGAUUUGUACACCUCAAAUCAUUACAGCAGCUAACAAUCAUAAAUAAAGAGCUAAGGCCUUAUAACAACCUCUUGAUCUCUAACUGAAUUCAGUUAGAGAUGCUUCUAGAAUGCUGACUAGGAAUGCAGUGCAUUACUGAGUUUGUUAUUGUGCUGAUGUAUGCCUACAUUGCUGAUGUAUGCCUACAUUGCUGAUGUAUGGCUGCAUUGUUGUACUUCAUUCGUUUAGUGAUUGGUCAGCAUGAUGACAUUGCUGUAAACCAACACCCCCCCUCAAACUAGGCAUAGGAAACACAUUGACCAUGCCAAGUUUGCUGGAUAAAGACCUGUGUUGAGCACCAGGAAGUAUUUUGGUAAAAAUAUCAGCAAGUUGAUUCUGAGUGGGAAGAUAGCUUAACUGAAGUAACCCAUCUAAGACCUUAUCUCUAGUGAAAUGACAAUCCACUUCAAUGUGUUUUGUCCUUUCAUGAAAGAUUGGGUUGGCAGCAAUGUGUAUGGCUGAUUGGUUAUCACAAUGUAGUUCAACAGGCUUUAAAUUAGUGACACCAAGUUCUUCAAGCAGUCUGAUUAUCCAAGUAACUUCUCCAGCAGCUUGAGACAUUGCUCUAUACUCAGCUUCAGAAGAUCUCUUAGAAAUUGUAGAUUGCUUCUUGGACUUCCAACUGAUAGGUGAAUUGCCUAGUAGAAGAACAUACCCUGUGACAGAUCUUCUUGUAGUGGGACUAGCAGCUAAAUCUGAGUCAGAAAAGGCUUGUAGAGUAAGCUUAUCAGUUGCUCUUAAUAAGAUUCCUUGUCCUGCAGUGUUGCUAAUGUAUCGAAGAGUAUGAGUAAGGGCCUCAACAUGUUGGAGUUUAGGAGAAUGCAUAAACUGAUUGAGGGAUUGAACAACAAAAGAGAUGUCAGGUCUUGUAUGUGUUAGAAAAUUCAGUUUCCCCACAUAGCAUCUAUAGAGUUCAGCAUUGUGAUAAUCUUCUCCUUCAGUUGAAAGUUUUAGGUUAAGUGGAAAAGGGGUGAUAGCAGGUUUAGAUAUGUCCAACUCACAAUCUUGAAGAAGUUCUUUAGUAUACUUCUUUUGUGUUAGAAUGUAACCUUCAUUGGUGUGGCUGAUUUCAAUGCCAAGGAAGAAAUUAAGGACACCAAGGUCUUUGAUGCUGAAAGUGAGAUGGAGAUGAUUCUUGAGAUCACUGAUAACAGAUUCAUUAGAACCAGUGAUGAUAAUAUCAUCAACAUAUACUGCAACCACAGUGAGAUCAGUUGAUGUUUUCUUGAUGAACAAUGAGUAGUCAUUUUUUGAUUGAUUGAACCCUUGAGACUUGAGUUCUUGGUGGAGUCUAGCAAACCACUGUCUUGAUGUUUGCUUGAGGCCAUAUAAUGAUUUCUUGAGUUUACAAACAAAACCAGUAGGAGCCGUGACACCUUCAGGCACCUUCAUGUACACUUCUUCAUCAAGUGUACCAUGAAGAAAGGCAUUGUUUAUGUCCAAUUGAAACAACUUUCAGUUUCUGCUAGCAGCAAGACUAAUUAAACACCUCAUAGUUGACAUUUUUACUAGAGGAGAGAAGGUUUCAUGAUAAUCUAUCCCAUACUUUGGAGUAAAGCCCUUAGCAACUAAUCGAGCCUUAUAUCUCUCCACUGAUCCAUCAGCAUUCUUCUUGAUCCUGUACACCCACUUGCAACCAAUUGCCUUCUUACCUUUAGGUAACAAAACAAAAUCCCAAGUAUUAUUGUUUUGUAGAGCUGUUAUCUCCUUAUCCAUAGCUUCAAUCCAUUGAGAGUCUUUAGCAGCUUCAGAGUAAGUGGUUGGUUCAACAAGUUCCAUAUGAGCAGUGAUCAAUAGUUUGUGAUGCACUGGUAAACUUUCAUAAGCUACCAAGUUGCACCAAUGCUUUGUAGGUCUUUGACAGACAAAAUCCUUCAAAUGAGAAGGAAUCUUUGUGGGUCUACUGGAUUUUCUUGGUGCUGGUGGUGGGUUGUCUGAUGGGGAAAAAUGGCUUGGUGAUGAAACAGGAGAUAAUGUGUCUUGUGUAGAAGUAAAAGGUGGAUUAGAUGUGCUUUCAGUAGGAGAGAUGUUGUCUGUGUGAGUAUAUGGUUCAUGAGUGUCUAGGUGAGGUUGAGGAAUAUUUGUGGAGUAUAAUUCUGAAGUGUAAGGAGUAACAACAGGUAGAAUAAAUUGAUUAGAAUAAACUUGGUCAGGAGUGGUUGAGAAAUGAAAUGGGAAAUGGUGUUCAUGAAAAACAUCCCUGGUGAUGACAAACUUCUUUGUGGCUAGAUUGAGAACUUUGUAAGCCUUUUGACGUGGGGGAUAACCAAGCAAAACACAUGGGGUUGCUCUAGGAUCAAAUUUUGAUCCGUGAAUAGUAGGGGUGCUAAUGAAACAAAGGCAACCAAAAACUCUCAAGUGAGACAGAUCAGGUGGCUUGUUAAACAGCCUUUCAUAAGGAGUAGUGAAAUUGAUACUUCUCAGUGGCAUCCUAUUGAUCAAAUAGGUGGCAGUAAGGACACAAUCACUCCAAUAUUUAUCAGGCAAUUUGGACUGAAAAGAGAGAGCUCUUGCAGUUUCUAAUAGGUGUUUGUGUUUCCUCUCAACAACACCAUUCUGUUGUGGAGUAUAGCUACAACUUUUCUGAUGCAGAAUGCCUUUACUUAGAAACAAUGCUUUCAUAUCUCCUUCAGUAAGAUUAAGUGCAUUAUCAGAUCUUAUCUGUUUAACUGUAAAGCUAUAUUGAUUUUCAACAUAAACAAAGAAGUCAUGCAUUAUUUUCACAGAAUCAGUCUUAUUUCUCAUUAGAUGAGUCCAAGUCAUCCUAGUGUAGUCAUCCACAAUAGUAAGGAAUUGAUUACAUCUAGUAGUAUCAUAUACAGAAUAGGGACCCCACACAUCUAUGUGUAACAGCUCAAAAGGUUGAACUAUUUUGAUACUACUUACAGAAAAGGGAAAUCUAGUUUGUUUAGCUAAGGGGCAUAUCUGACAAAAACACUCAGCUAAACAACCUUUGACAUCAACUCCUUUGAUGUUCUUUAUUUUUCCAAAUGACAUAUGUCCAAGCCUAAGAUGCCAUAGCUUUGCUUCUUCCACUUCAUAAACACUUGAGAAAGCAUGAUUAGUAGAGAUAGAACUGCUGUCAGACUUUAACAGAUCCUCAUUGAAAUUGUAUAGGCCUUUGUCCAAUCUACCAGGCAGAGUAUGCUUGUUCUUGGAAAGGUCCUGUGCAAAACAUUCAUUAUUUGUAAAUGAUACUGAACACUGAUCAUCACAACACAGCUUGGACACUGAAAUCAAAUUGAAUUGAAACCCUGGAACAUGCAGAACACCUUUUAGAGUAAUUGUGCCUAGAUCAACUUCACCUUUAUGUGUUACUGUAAGUUCUGUGCCAUCAGGAAUGGUGAUAGUGUGAAAUUUGUCAUUUACUGAUUCAAUAGUGCUAAACAUGGUCAAGUCUGAGCACAUGUGAUCACUUGCCCCACUGUCUAAAUCCACUUAGUUUUAAAGUUAGACAAAAGACAAAAUGUACCUUUCAGAUGAGUGCUGGUUGCCAAGCCAAGUGAAUUAGAACCAUGAUGCUCAGUUUGACUGGCAGCCUUCUGAUUAGUGAGGAAAGUCAUGAGUUGAUCAUAUUGCUCCUGUGUAAAUGUUGCACGGACAGUACCUUGAUCUGCACUCCCUGCAGCCUCCUUUUCAGCAUAUUCCUCUAAAUGAGCAGCUGCUGCAACUCUCUUUCCCUUUCCUUUGAAAUCCUUGGGAUAACCAUGUAAUUUCCAGCACUUAUCAACUGUAUGGUUCUUCAUUUUGCAGUGUUCACAGAACAAACUGGUUUCUUGCUGAAUUCCCUUGCUGAAUUCCCUCCACUUACAUUCUGUGAGCCAAAAGAAGAAAUAUAUUGUGGCUUGUAUGCUUUAUUGUCAGUAAACUUCCUAGCAGCAAAAAUUGUGGAUUCUAUACCAUGGUUUCGAUUACUAUUUACUUCUUUCUGUUGUUCUUCUUGCAGAAGAAGUCCAUAUGCUUUUGAUAUUGUUGGCAAGGAUGUCAUCAUGAGAAUUGUGCUUUUGGAGUGAUCAUAUUUUUCAUUCAGCUUCAUUAGAAACUGAAUCAGCCUUUGAUCUUCUUGAGAUUUCAGAAGUUUUUGUGUUAAAGUGCAGCUGCAACCAGUGCAAACACAAGAUGGUAAUGGAUCCAGACCAUCAAGCUGGUCCCAUAACAGUUUAAUCUUAGUGAAGAAACCUGAAAUUUGUUCACCAUCUUCUUGAUUCAGAUCACAAAGUUUCUGUUGCACAGAGAAGAGCUGAGGUCCUGAUGACUGACAAAAUCUUUCCCCUAAAUCCAACCAUAUCUCUCUAGCUGUUUUUAGAUACAGCACACCUCUUGCAAUAGAAGGUUCCAGUGAUGCCAAAAUCCAAGAUAUCACCAAAUCAUUGCAUCUGUUCCAUAUUCUGAAGUUAGUAGAAUUUGAAGCAGGCUGAGUGAGGCUUCCAUCAACAAAACACAAUUUAUUUCUUGCUGAAAGUGCUAUCAUCAUAGAUCGCUUCCAAUCAUUAAAACAUUUUCAAUCAAAAAUAAUAUUGACCAGCUUGGAUGCAUUAA